rnacentral:rRNA from 1 species
GGUAAUACGAAGGGGGCUAGCGUUGCUCGGAAUGACUGGGCGUAAAGGGCGCGUAGGCGGACGGCACAGUCAGGCGUGAAAUUCCUGGGCUCAACCUGGGGACUGCGUCUGAGACGUGUUGUCUUGAGUAUGGAAGAGGGUUGUGGAAUUUCCAGUGUAGAGGUGAAAUUCGUAGAUAUUGGAAAGAACACCGGUGGCGAAGG